rnacentral:rRNA from 1 species
CUACGGGAGGCAGCAGUGAGGAAUCUUGCACAAUGGGCGAAAGCCUGAUGCAGCGAUGCCGCGUGAGUGAUGAAGGCCUUCGGGCUGUAAAGCUCUGUCGGCCGGGACAAAAGGUCCGUACCUAAUACGUACGGAAUUGAUGGUACCGGCAAAGGAAGAGGCGGCUAACUCUGUGCCAGCAGCCGCGGUAAUACAGAGGCCUCGAGCGUUGUUCGGAAUUACUGGGCGUAAAGCGAAUGUAGGCGGUGACGUAAGUCAGAUGUGAAAGCCCGGGGCUUAACCCCGGAAAUGCAUUUGAUACUGCGUUGCUCGAGUAUGAGAGAGGAAAGGGGAAUUCCCAGUGUAGGAGUGAAAUCCGUAGAUAUUGGGAGGAAUACCGAUGGCGAAGGCACCUUUCUGGCUCAUUACUGACACUGAGAUUCAAAAGCGUGGGGAGCAAACAGGAUUAGAAACCCCGGUAGUCCU